AUUGAACGCUGGCGGCAUGCUUUACACAUGCAAGUCGAACGGUAACAGGCCUUCGGGUGCUGACGAGUGGCGAACGGGUGAGUAAUGCAUCGGAACGUGCCCAAUCGUGGGGGAUAACGUAGCGAAAGUUGCGCUAAUACCGCAUAAGCCCUGAGGGGGAAAGCAGGGGAUCGCAAGACCUUGCGCGAAUGGAGCGGCCGAUGUCAGAUUAGCUAGUUGGUGGGGUAAAGGCCUACCAAGGCGACGAUCUGUAGCGGGUCUGAGAGGAUGAUCCGCCACACUGGGACUGAGACACGGCCCAGACUCCUACGGGAGGCAGCAGUGGGGAAUUUUGGACAAUGGGCGCAAGCCUGAUCCAGCCAUGCCGCGUGCGGGACGAAGACCUCGG
rnacentral:rRNA from 1 species